rnacentral:rRNA from 1 species
UAUAGAUGGAUCCGCGCUGCAUUAGCUAGUUGGUAAGGUAACGGCUUACCAAGGCAACGAUGCAUAGCCGACCUGAGAGGGUGAUCGGCCACACUGGAACUGAGACACGGUCCAGACUCCUACGGGAGGCAGCAGUAGGGAAUCUUCCGCAAUGGGCGAAAGCCUGACGGAGCAACGCCGCGUGAGUGAUGAAGGUCUUCGGAUCGUAAAACUCUGUUAUUAGGGAAGAACAUAUGUGUAAGUAACUGUGCACAUCUUGACGGUACCUAAUCAGAAAGCCACGGCUAACUACGUGCCAGCAGCCGCGGUAAUACGUAGGUGGCAAGCGUUAUCCGGAAUUAUUGGGCGUAAAGCGCGCGUAGGCGGUUUUUUAAGUCUGAUGUGAAAGCCCACGGCUCAACCGUGGAGGGUCAUUGGAAACUGGAAAACUUGAGUGCAGAAGAGGAAAGUGGAAUUCCAUGUGUAGCGGUGAAAUGCGCAGAGAUAUGGAGGAACACCAGUGGCGAAGGCGACUUUCUGGUCUGUAACUGACGCUGAUGUGCGAAAGCGUGGGGAUCAAA